GAUGAACGCUAGCGGCAGGCCUAAUACAUGCAAGUCGGACGGGAUCCAUUGAUAGCUUGCUAUCAAUGGUGAGAGUGGCGCACGGGUGCGUAACGCGUGAGCAACCUGCCUCCAUCAGGGGGAUAGCCUCUCGAAAGAGAGAUUAACACCGCAUAAUAUCAACAGUUCGCAUGUUCAGGUGAUUAAAUAUUUAUAGGAUGGAGAUGGGCUCGCGUGACAUUAGCUAGUUGGUAGGGUAACGGCUUACCAAGGCGACGAUGUCUAGGGGCUCUGAGAGGAGAAUCCCCCACACUGGUACUGCGACCCAGACCAGACUCCUACGGGAGGCAGCAGUAAGGAAUAUUGGUCAAUGGGCGGUAGCCUGAACCAGCCAUGCCGCGUGCAGGAUGACUGCCCUAUGGGUUGUAAACUGCUUUUGUCCAGGAAUAAACCUAAAUACGAGUAUUUAGCUGAAUGUACUGGAAGAAUAAGGAUCGGCUAACUCCGUG
rnacentral:rRNA from 1 species